rnacentral:rRNA from 1 species
UACGUAGGGUGCAAGCGUUGUCCGGAUUUAUUGGCGUAAAGAGCUCGUAGGCGGUUUGGCAAGUCGGGUGUGAAACUCCAGGCUCAACCUGGAGAUGCCACCCGAUACUGCUAUGACUUGAGUCUGGUAGGGAGCACGGAAUUCCUGGUGUAGCGGUGAAAUGCGCAGAUAUCAGGAGGAACACCGGUGGCGAAGGCGGUGCU